rnacentral:rRNA from 1 species
AGUCGAGCGGUAGAGAGAGGCUUGCUUCUCUUGAGAGCGGCGGACGGGUGAGUAAUGCCUAGGAAUCUGCCUAGUGGUGGGGGAUAACGUUCGGAAACGGACGCUAAUACCGCAUACGUCCUACGGGAGAAAGCGGGGGACCUUCGGGCCUCGCGCCAUUAGAUGAGCCUAGGUCGGAUUAGCUAGUUGGUGAGGUAAAGGCUCACCAAGGCGACGAUCCGUAACUGGUCUGAGAGGAUGAUCAGUCACACUGGAACUGAGACACGGUCCAGACUCCUACGGGAGGCAGCAGUGGGGAAUAUUGGACAAUGGGGGAAACCCUGAUCCAGCCAUGCCGCGUGUGUGAAGAAGGUCUUCGGAUUGUAAAGCACUUUAAGUUGGGAGGAAGGGUAGUAACUUAAUACGUUGCUACUUUGACGUUACCGACAGAAUAAGCACCGGCUAACUCUGUGCCAGCAGCCGCGGUAAUACAGAGGGUGCAAGCGUUAAUCGGAAUUACUGGGCGUAAAGCGCGCGUAGGUGGUUUGUUAAGUUGGAUGUGAAAGCCCCGGGCUCAACCUGGGAACUGCAUCCAAAACUGGCAGGCUAGAGUACGGUAGAGGGUGGUGGAAUUUCCUGUGUAGCGGUGAAAUGCGUAGAUAUAGGAAGGAACACCAGUGGCGAAGGCGACCACCUGGACUGAUACUGACACUGAGGUGCGGAAGCGUGGGGAGCAAACAGGAUUAGAUACCCUGGUAGUCCACGCCGUAAACGAUGUCAACUAGCCGUUGGGUUCCUUGAGAACUUAGUGGCGCAGCUAACGCAUUAAG